UUUACUUUGCGAUAUGUCAUGCUGUGUUUGCUUUCAAUAGCAUAUACAUCAUUCUCUGAAUGCGUUUCUACUGCAGCCUUAGAGCCAAAGGCUUAUGUCUCGGAGCUGCAAGCAGCAAUGGUGGGGACGUGCAGUGGAGUUCGAUUCUCUAUAUGCAGUGAGUUAUAUUUAAGUGACUCACACAUUUCAUUGAUCGUGCACUCUGCAUUUCUAGGUUUGGUAACUGUUAGGAUUGAACAUGUUAAGUCAUUUGUAGUUUGUAUUUCUAUGAUUUGGUGCUCGUAGUUUUUCAUAACAGUUUUUUGAACAUGUUAAGUCAUCUGUCACUAUAAUUCAAUAUGCAGUGGCAAUAUUUUGUCGUUGUCACUAAUACUUGUAGUGUCGGUGCAUACAGUCUCAACUCAACGACAAACACAAAAGUCGUCAUAAGUACUUAUAGUGACAAUUUUAGUAUAUAUAGUGACAAGAAGUGUCGCCACUAAAAGUUGUUCCUUCUGUAAUGGGAGUUUGCUAAAGCAAAAUGAGCUUCACAAGGCAACAUUAUUCAAGGAAGAAAUGCGCCAAAAGGGAUUCUCAGCUGAUUCUCAGACUUCUUCGGUGCCGACUGAACAAAGUGGAGAUGAUUUCUUUUUCAAAUUGAUGAAGUACCUUGCGCCCAAGGAUAUUGUAUCAUAGUCAUUUCUUCUUGAUAUACGGGGUUAGUGAUAUCGACAACGAAAUAUUGUUGCAAUUAUAAUAUUAUUGUGUGUUCCCUUGUGUUUCUUUUCAAAAGCACACAUCGUUGUCUGAUGCAUUUCCAGUGCAGGGCGAGGAUACCUGCAGCCUAAGUCUCGGAUCUGCAAACCUGAGUUUGAUUCUUGAUAUGGCUUGUGUUAGUUGGUGAGAUCCGUGAGCCAGUUGCGUUGUUUAGCUGUGAUGAACGAGCCGUGCAGCCGUGCAGGAGCCAGAAGAGUCGAGCUGCUUGUGAUCUUCUUUAAUGGCUUGUACAGUUUUAGGUUGGAUGGAAUGAGGUUUAAUAUUGGAAUGAGCUCCUCAGCACAAGCUCUUCAGCUGGCUACGAUUGUAACUGUCGGCAAGGAAAGCAACGCUGCGCUUGCAGUUCGUCUUGGUGGUUUUCGUAUUGUUGAGAGAAUUGUGUUUAGGAGUUGGAGGGUGUAGAUACCAAUUUGUUGCUAUGUGUUGUGUUGCUAAAUCUUCAUAAGCAGUAGCUCUACUUAUAACUUUGUUUUUGUUUAUUUAUUUUAAGUAUGUUUUUGGUGUAGCUUUUUUAAGAAUGUAAACUGCAGGAUGUUUUGUGAGGCAACUUUGAUUUGCAGAAUAAGUAGUUUCUGUUCAAUGUGUAUAUGUUUGGUGAAUUU
rnacentral:lncRNA from 1 species